AACUGAGAUGUUCACGUUCAAGUCCUUUGUAGAUGUCAAGCGCAACUGAGAAACCGCAC
rnacentral:sRNA from 1 species